rnacentral:rRNA from 1 species
AUUGAACGCUGGCGGCAGGCCUAACACAUGCAAGUCGAACGGUAACAGGAAGAAGCUUGCUUCUUUGCUGACGAGUGGCGGACGGGUGAGUAAUGUCUGGGAAACUGCCUGAUGGAGGGGGAUAACUACUGGAAACGGUAGCUAAUACCGCAUAAUGUCGCAAGACCAAAGAGGGGGACCUUCGGGCCUCUUGCCAUCGGAUGUGCCCAGAUGGGAUUAGCUAGUAGGUGGGGUAACGGCUCACCUAGGCGACGAUCCCUAGCUGGUCUGAGAGGAUGACCAGCCACACUGGAACUGGGACACGGUCCAGACUCCUACGGGAGGCAGCAGUGGGGAAUAUUGCACAAUGGGCGCAAGCCUGAUGCAGCUAUGCCGCGUGUAUGAAGAAGGCCUUCGGGUUGAAAAGUACUUUCAGCGGGGAGGAAGGGAGUAAAGUUAAUACCUUUGCUCAUUGACGUUACCCGCAGAAGAAGCACCGGCUAACUCCGUG